UUGCUUCCCAGCCCCAGCCUGCCCUUGCCGCGCCCCCGCUUAGCACAGACCUCAGGCUCGGCCCCUGGUCACCGCUGUCACCGCAGGGCUGGGCUCUCCCACACUGCUCUGCGGAGCAGGCCCCCUGCGCACUCUCUUCCCCACUCACUUUUUUCUCACCUGUAACCUCUGGGGUGUGUGCUUGGUAAAAGGGAGUGUGAACUGCAGGUGCCUGGCCUCCCUCGGCCUCCCCCGGCAGCUCUUGCUGUUGACACGGGUGCUGUGACUGGAAUAAGCCGCCUUCCUGCCUCUGAGGCUGGGAGAAAUGUGUUCGGUUGAGUGUGAUUACUGGCCUUGGACCAGAGGGGCACAGGGCAGGCGUGUCCACAUGGUUUGGGGGUCUUAGUUGUGGGGGUGUUCUUUGGAGUUUUGUUUUUCGAUGACCCUGUCUGCAUGUAACUCCUUCACAACGAAGCAGACAGUAGGUACAGGAAGCUAGAAUCACAGGGGUUCUGGGUGUGUGUUCACGUUCAGGAAGCUGGAAUCACAGGAGGGUCUGGGUAUGUGCUCAGGUUCAGGAAGCUGGAAUCACAGGAGGGUUUGGUGUGUGCUCAGGUUCAGGAAGCUGGAAUCACAGGGUCUGGGUGUGUGCUCACAUACCGGAAGCCGGAA